UCCGAACCCGGAAGCUAAGCUGCGUAGCGCCGAUGGUACUGCAAGGGGGACCUUGUGGGAGAGUAGGACGCCGCCGAAC
rnacentral:rRNA from 2 species